rnacentral:piRNA from 1 species
UAUCCAUGGCUGCUGAGUUGUUCAG